AGAGGUGGUGCAUGGCCGUCGUCAGUUCGUACUGUGAAGCAUCCUGUUAAGUCAGGCAACGAGCGAGACCCACGUCCACAGUUGCCAGCAUACCCGUCCGGGGUGAUGGGUACACUGUGGAGACCGCCGCUGCUAAAGCGGAGGAAGGAGUGGGCAACGGUAGGUCAGUAUGCCCCGAAUCUCCCGGGCUACACGCGGGCUACAAUGGUUGGUACAAUGGGCAUCUACCCCGAAAGGGGAAGGAAAUCUCUUAAAGCCAAUCGUAGUUCGGAUUGAGGGCUGCAACUCGCCCUCAUGAAGCUGGAAUCCGUAGUAAUCGCGUUUCAACAGAACGCGGUGAAUACGUCCCUGCUCCUU
rnacentral:rRNA from 1 species